UACGAAGGGGGCUAGCGUCGCUCGGAAUUACUGGGCGUAAAGGGCGCGUAGGCGGACAUUUAAGUCAGAGGUGAAAGCCCAGGGCUCAACCUUGGAAUUGCCUUUGAUACUGGAUGUCUUGAGUUCGGGAGAGGUGAGUGGAAUGCCGAGUGUAGAGGUGAAAUUCGUAGAUAUUCGGCGGAACACCAGUGGCGAAGGCGACUCACUGGCCCGAUACUGACGCUGAGGCGCGAAAGCGUGGGGAGCAAACAGG
rnacentral:rRNA from 1 species